AAUAGAUAAAUCUUAAAUGCAUAAUGUUCAGUAAAAGCAAGCUGCAAAGGAUGCUAUAUGAUACCGUAUAUAUGAAAUUCUAAAACAUAAAAUCACAUACAUUGUAUAUGGACACACAAAUGUAGAAAAGUAUAUCAACGAUAAUACAACUUCAGAGAGGAGAGGGAAAGAAUAGGAAGAGUAGAUUAGCUUUAUCUGCCAUAUUAUAUUUCUUUUUCAAAAAAUGCUUCCUGUAAAGGACAUCAAAAUAGAAAGGGGGGUAUAAGUUGUCAGGAGGAAAAUUAAGAGCAGACAGUAGGUCCUGGACAUCAGGAAAGGAAGGAGGUAUGUUUUCAAAAGAAGAGCAUAAAACAUACCACCCAAUUUUGCAGACAAGUCAAGUGGAAUGAGGAUUAAGAAGCUCUGUCUAUUAUCAGUCAGAAACCUCGGAGAAAGUUUCAGCAGAAUAAUGGGGGUGGGAGCCAGAUGGUGGGGGGUGGAGAGGAGAGACUUGGCACUGAGGGAGUGGAGGCAGUGAGAGCAAAUGUCUCAUUCAAAAAAGUUGGCAAUGAAGAAGAGAAGAGAAAAAUAUAUAGCAGUUGAAUGAGAAAUAUUUAAUAUGUCUGAUGCUUCAAUUUCAGGCAAGGUGGAUACUCAAAUAAUUCAACAUUUUUUGCAAAACAUUGAGUCUUUAUAUUAUCAAAAAUAAAAGACAGAAAUAAAUAUCUUUUUUCCUUAAGGGAACAUCUGUAAACUAUCUCAUAUAUUAAUAUGGCAUAAAACAACAUUAAGGGGGCUGGCGCAGUGGUUAGGUUCACACGUCCCGCUUUGGCAGCCCGGGAUUCGCAGGUUUGGAUCCUGGGUGCUGACCUAUGCACCGCUUGUCAAGUCAUGCUGUGGCAGGUGUCCCAUAUAUAAAGCAGAGGAAGAUGGGCACAGAUGUUAGCUCAGGGCCAGUCUUCCUCAGCAAAAAGAGGAGAAUUGGCGAUAGAUGUUAGCUCAGGGCUAUUCUUCCUCAAAAAAAAAAAAAAAAAUAGAACAACAACAAAAACAACAACCCAGGCUACUCUUGACAUAAGUAAAAAUAACUAGUAAGAAUAAUAAGAAUAAAAUAAUUUUUAAUAAUUUGUUUCACUACUACCUGCACAUAUAUAUGCCACCAUUUAUUAUCACAGCUGCCAAAAUAUGACAUAUUGUUUGUAUCUUACGUAAGGUCUAAUGUAGCCCGCAAUCCUGGCCUGUCACUGAAGAUUGCAGAAGUAUUACUUUGUUAUAACAUCAGCACUGCUUUGAUUCAUCACAAGGGUGUUUCACCCUGAUGCGAAUGCUGGUUCAACCUUUAAAAGAAACUUAAAAAAAAAGACUAUAGAAAACAUGAGUUGUUUAUAUGGAAUGUUCCUUAAGAUAAUAUCUUUAAAAUGAGACCAGUUCUCCAUGGAAAUAAUCUAGUGUGUCUUUCAUGAAAUUCUAUAAAAGAGCUCUGAUGGUGCACUUAAAGGGCUAUCAUUAAACCAUUUAUUGCUGUGUAGGUGGUGAGUUUUAAAACAUUUUCUCAGACAUACAAAAGCGUAGAUCUUUUGGACCUACAACAAAAUGUUUAUUUCGCUCAGCUCAUUCUAUUCAAUGUGCAUAGCACCCUAAGAUGUGGUAAAAUGUCUGAAAGUAAU
ensembl:lncRNA